UCUGGAAUUGGUCCACACACAGUAAUAGUUUGUGAUCUGGUACUCUCUGUUCUUUAUGUUAGUUCCUUCUUUUUUUAAUUUAUUUAUUUUUUCAUCCGAGUUACAAAGUGAUUUGAAUCAUAGUUGUCAAAUUAUGAAUCAAAAUUUCCUUUUUGUUGAAUUGUGAAUUGAUUUGGGUUGCAAACCAUAAAGAUUCUGUUUUAAUUUUUGAUACAUAAAAAUAUAUCUAAACAUAUAGAUAUUAAAGAUACACUAUAAAUAAAUGAAUUGCUUCUUUUAAAUGAUGGACAUGGGUGUAAUAGGGAAGAUGCUUCUGUCUAUGUUUAGUUUCAUAUAUUACGAAUAACAAUCUUUUUAAAUUAAUGGCGUCUGAAAUCUAACUCCUUUUUUACCAUGCUUUUGCUACUAAGUAUAGAAUGAAGAGUGUUCCUGUGGUCGAUCUAGGAGAAAGGAAGAUUGAUAUCAGCGUCAUAAUCUGCUGUUAUUCACAUGUUGAAGGAAUGCGCCGGUCUUUUACCAGUCUAGUGUUAUUUAAUUUUUCUUGUGCAGUUGGAUGAGCACUCAUCCUAUGAAAGAAUUUGUUUCCGUGUUUAAAGAAGGUUCCUUCUGAGGAUCUCUAAUUGCAGCUGAGCCAGUUCAAGUAAGCCUUACUUUCAUCUCUAUAAUUGGAAUUGCUAAAAUAGCCUUGUAUUUUGUUCUUCUAUAACUCCUGUUGAUCCUAAAGGUAAUCUUAGUUCUUAGUAGUUCUUAAAGUCCCACCAAACUUCAUUCUAGCUACAGUUAGAGAGGUUCUUAAAAAUUUCUUCAAAAAAUCCAAAAAACCUUCAUUUUUAGCAAUUAUUUUAUCUCCAAGAAUGUAUGGGGCUUCACUUACACAACCGUUUAGCCGACAUGAUCAAUAUAAAAAAUUUUGUUAUGUGCAACCUUGUCAUUUACUCUGCAAAUGACAGUGAAGUGAAUGUUCUACUUGUGUUACUGUUUUUAGAUUGUGGUAUCUAUAAGAUCCAUGUAAUACUUAUGUUAAUUUCUUGUUUGAUUUACCAGCUCAUUAUAGCAAGUUUCAAGCAGAUAGCAACUAUCCAAAAGAUCAGCAAAUAGGUACUCGACCUAGUUUGUUGCAGAAUAUAUCUUAUGCAUCAGCAAAGAAGUUAGGAUUCAGCAUGCUGAUUUCUGGAAGCCCCAGAUCUGGCCAGAGGUAUCUUGCUUCUUGCCUUCUCCACUGCUUUGUUGGAAACGUGGAAAUCCAAAAGGUUGAUUUGGCUACAAUUUCACAAGAGGGACACGGAGAUGUAACUCAAGGAGUAACUCGAAUAUUAAGAGGUAAUGAUGCUUCUCACUCAGCUGAAGCUACAGCCCGCAGAGGAUCAAGUAGUUUUGCUCGCCUUGACGUUGAUAUGCAUUCUAGAUCAGGAAUGGCAACUCUCUCUACUAUUGGUGCUGUUGCAUCUGCAAUGGG